rnacentral:rRNA from 1 species
AUGACUCUCGGCAACGGAUAUCUCGGCUCACGCAUCGAUGAAGAACGUAGCAAAAUGCGAUACUUGGUGUGAAUUGCAGAAUCCCGUGAACCAUCGAGUUUUUGAACGCAAGUUGCGCCCGAAACCAUUUGGUUGAGGGCACGUCUGCCUGGGCGUCACG